rnacentral:rRNA from 1 species
GACGAACCGUGCGAACGUUGUUCGGAAUCACUGGGCUUAAAGGGAGCGUAGGCGGGCCUCCAAGUCAGGGGUGAAAUCCCACGGCUCAACCGUGGAAGUGCCUCUGAUACUGGCGGCUUCGAGGGGUGCAGGGGCGUGCGGAACUAAGGGUGGAGCGGUGAAAUGCGUAGAUAUCCUUAGGAACACCGGUGGCGAAAGCGGCGCGCUAGACACCUACUGACGCUGAGGCUCGAAAGCCAGGGGAGCAAACGGG